AGAGUUUGAUCAUGGCUCAGAUUGAACGCUGGCGGCAGGCCUAACACAUGCAAGUCGAGCGGUAGCACAGAGAGCUUGCUCUCGGGUGACGAGCGGCGGACGGGUGAGUAAUGUCUGGGAAACUGCCUGAUGGAGGGGGAUAACUACUGGAAACGGUAGCUAAUACCGCAUAAUGUCGCAAGACCAAAGUGGGGGACCUUCGGGCCUCAUGCCAUCAGAUGUGCCCCAGAUGGGAUUAGCUAGUAGGUGGGGUAACGGCUCACCUAGGCGACGAUCCCUAGCUGGUCUGAGAGGAUGACCAGCCACACUGGAACUGAGACACGGUCCAGACUCCUACGGAGGCAGCAGUGGGGGAAUAUUGCACAAUGGGCGCAAGCCUGAUGCAGCAUGCCGCGUGUGUGAAGAAGGCCUUCGGGUUGUAAAGCACUUUCAGCGGGGAGGAAGGCGGUGAGGUUAAUAACCUCAUCGAUUGACGUUACCCGCAGAAGAAGCACCGGCUAACUCCGUGCCAGCAGCCGCGGUAAUACGGAGGGGUGCAAGCGUUAAUCGGAAUUACUGGGCGUAAAGCGCACGCAGGCGGUCUGUCAAGUCGGAUGUGAAAUCCCGGGCUCAACCUGGGAACUGCAUUCGAAACUGGCAGGCUAGAGUCUUGUAGAGGGGGGUAGAAUUCCAGGUGUAGCGGUGAAAUGCGUAGAGAUCUGGAGGAAUACCGGUGGCGAAGGCGGCCCCCUGGACAAAGACUGACGCUCAGGUGCGAAAGCGUGGGGAGCAAACAGGAUUAGAUACCCUGGUAGUCCACGCCGUAAACGAUGUCGAUUUGGAGGUUGUGCCCUUGAGGCGUGGCUUCCGGAGCUAACGCGUUAAAUCGACCGCCUGGGGAGUACGGCCGCAAGGUUAAAACUCAAAUGAAUUGACGGGGGCCCGCACAAGCGGUGGAGCAUGUGGUUUAAUUCGAUGCAACGCGAAGAACCUUACCUGGUCUUGACAUCCACAGAACUUUCCAGAGAUGGAUUGGUGCCUUCGGGAACUGUGAGACAGGUGCUGCAUGGCUGUCGUCAGCUCGUGUUGUGAAAUGUUGGGUUAAGUCCCGCAACGAGCGCAACCCUUAUCCUUUGUUGCCAGCGGUUAGGCCGGGAACUCAAAGGAGACUGCCAGUGAUAAACUGGAGGAAGGUGGGGAUGACGUCAAGUCAUCAUGGCCCUUACGACCAGGGCUACACACGUGCUACAAUGGCAUAUACAAAGAGAAGCGACCUCGCGAGAGCAAGCGGACCUCAUAAAGUAUGUCGUAGUCCGGAUUGGAGUCUGCAACUCGACUCCAUGAAGUCGGAAUCGCUAGUAAUCGUAGAUCAGAAUGCUACGGUGAAUACGUUCCCGGGCCUUGUACACACCGCCCGUCACACCAUGGGAGUGGGUUGCAAAAGAAGUAGGUAGCUUAACCUUCGGGAGGGCGCUUACCACUUUGUGAUUCAUGACUGGGGUGAAGUCGUAACAAGGUAACCGUAGGGGAACCUGCGGUUGGAUCACCU
rnacentral:rRNA from 1 species